AUCCAUAGCUGGUCUGAGAGGAUGAUCAGCCACACCGGGACUGAGACACGGCCCGGACUCCUACGGGAGGCAGCAGUGGGGAAUCUUGCACAAUGGGCGAAAGCCUGAUGCAGCCAUGCCGCGUGUGUGAUGAAGGCCUUAGGGUUGUAAAACACUUUCAGAGGGGAAGAUAAUGACGGUACCCUCAGAAGAAGCUCCGGCUAACUCCGUGCCAGCAGCC
rnacentral:rRNA from 1 species